UACGUAGGUGACAAGCGUUGUCCGGAUUUACUGGGCGUAAAGAGCGCGCAGGCGGUCGUUCAAGUCGAGUGUGAAAGCCCCCGGCUCAACUGGGGAGGGUCACUCGAUACUGAUCGACUUGAAGGCAGGAGAGGGAAGCGGAAUUCCCGGUGUAGUGGUGAAAUGCGUAGAGAUCGGCAGGAACACCCAGGGGGAAACCAGUGGACUGGGCAUGUGCUGACGCUCAGGCGCGAAAGCGUGGGGAGCGAACCGG
rnacentral:rRNA from 1 species